rnacentral:rRNA from 1 species
AGUGAACGCUGGCGGUGGGCCUAACACAUGCAAGUCGAACGGAAGGACGGUAAGCUUGUGCCCCUACGGGUGGCGGGUGGCGGGCGGGUGAGGCAUGCAUAGCAAUCUACUUUGUCGGGGGUGAUAACGGAGGGAAACUGACGCUAAUACCGCAUACGUCCUACGGGAGGAAUCAGUGGUGAUUGGCGCCUUUGGUGUUUGAUUGAGCCGAUGCCGCAUUAGCUAGUUGGCGGGGUAACGGCCCACCAAGGCAACGAUCCGUAGCUGAUCUGAGAGGAUGAUCGGCCACACUGGAACUGAGACACGGUCCAGACUCCUACGGGAGGCAGCAGUGGGGAAUCUUGCACAAUGGGCGAAAGCCUGAUCCAGCCAUGCCGCGUGGGUGAAGAAGGUCUUCGGAUUGUAAAGCCCUUUUGUUGGGGAAGAACAACAGCAUGUUAAUCCCUCCACGUCUUGACGGUACCCAAUGAAUAAGCCCCGGCUAACUUCGUG